AGUGUAGUUCAGAGAAAUCUCCACAGGAGGGCGCAAUAUUUGAUACAUAUGUAAUAUUUGUCUAUUGUUAGAUCAGAUAUUCAGUGUGUGUAAUAAUGUGUUUAUUUGUGUGUCGACUCUACAGGAUCAGUGAAGUGUUGUGGACUGUAAGCCUGUUGAACAGAAGCAGAGACGCGUGAACAGACGCUGACUGUACUGAUGAUGAUCAUCUGCUGCUGCACAGGCUGUAAAGUAUAACCCCUGCUGGACAUGUCUCCGGAAGCUCCAGGGGGAGACCGAACUGGUAUCCCCCCUUCUUCAGGCGCGCCUCACACUCACUCACCAUUCACUCAUAUCGCAGAGUUCUGGCUGGGAUCAAACCAGCAACCCCUGAAGCCAUGGGGCAGCGCUCUUACCACAGAGCCACAGAUCUCCUGACUGAACACUUGCUGGAACUGAAGUUAGACUGCUGACCUGUGUGUGAGCUGUUUUAAUAAAACAAAAUACGAGUCAGA